rnacentral:rRNA from 1 species
GACGAACCGUGCGAACGUUGUUCGGAAUCACUGGGCUUAAAGGGCGCGUAGGCGGGCAACCAAGUCCGGGGUGAAAGCCUCCAGCUUAACUGGAGAAGUGCCUCGGAUACUGGUCGUCUUGAGGAGGGUAGGGGCAUCUGGAACUAGCGGUGGAGCGGUGAAAUGCGUAGAUACCUGGAGGAACACCGGUGGCGAAGGCGGCAUCCUGGACCAACACUGACGCUGAGUGAGCGAAAGCCAGGGGAGCAAACGGG